rnacentral:rRNA from 1 species
UACGUAGGGUGCAAGCGUUGUCCGGAAUUAUUGGGCGUAAAGGGCUCGUAGGCGGUCUGUUACGUCGGCUGUGAAAACCUGGGGCUCAACUCCGGGCCUGCAGCCGAUACGGGCAGACUAGAGUUCGGCAGGGGAGACUGGAAUUCCUGGUGUAGCGGUGAAAUGCGCAGAUAUCAGGAGGAACACCGAUGGCGAAGGCAGGUCUCUGGGCCACUACUGACGCUGAGAAGCGAAAGCAUGGGGAGCGAACAGG